rnacentral:rRNA from 1 species
UACGGAGGGGUGCAAGCGUUAAUCGGAAUUACCGGGCGUAAAGCGUGCGUAGGCGGCCUGUUAAGUCAGAUGUGAAAGCCCUGGGCUUAACCUGGGAACGGCAUUUGAAACUGGCAAGCUAGAGUUAGGUAGAGGGGAGUGGAAUUUCAGGUGUAGCGGUGAAAUGCGUAGAUAUCUGUAGGAACACCAGUGGCGAAGGCGACUCCCUGGACCCAAACUGACGCUGAGGUACGAAAGCGCGGGUAGCAAACAGG